rnacentral:rRNA from 1 species
AGUGUCGGUGGAGAUGUUGGGGUUAAGUCCCGCANACGAGCGCAACCCNUAUGAUGUAUAGUUGCCAGCAUUUAGUUGGGCACUACUAAGGUGAANGCCGGUGACAAACCGGAGGAAGGUGGGGAUGACAGUCAAAUCAAUCAUGCCCCUUAUGACCUGGGCUACACACGUGCUACAAUGGAUGGUACAAAGGGCUGCAAGACCGCGAGGUUUAGCCAAUCCCAUAAAACCAUUCUCAGUUCGGAUUGCAGGCUGCAACUCGCCUGCAUGAAGCUGGAAUCGCUAGUAAUCGCGGAUCAGCAUGCCGCGGUGAAUACGUUCCCGGGCCUUGUACACACCGCCCGUCACACCACGAGAGUUUGCAACACCCGAAGUCGGUGGGGUACCCCUUCACGGGAGGCCAGCCGCCGAACGGUGGGGCAGAUGAUUGGGGUGAAGUCGUAACAAGGUAGCC